rnacentral:rRNA from 1 species
CGGGCGUUAAGUUGCAGGGUAUAGACCCGAAACCCGGUGAUCUAGCCAUGGGCAGGUUGAAGGUUGGGUAACACUAACUGGAGGACCGAACCGACUAAUGUUGAAAAAUUAGCGGAUGACCUGUGGCUGGGGGUGAAAGGCCAAUCAAACCGGGAGAUAGCUGGUUCUCCCCGAAAGCUAUUUAGGUAGCGCCUCGUGAAUUCAUCUCCGGGGGUAGAGCACUGUUUCGGCUAGGGGGCCAUCCCGGCUUACCAACCCGAUGCAAACUGCGAAUACCGGAGAAUGUUAUCACGGGAGACACACGGCGGGUGCUAACGUCCGUCGUGAAGAGGGAAACAACCCAGACCGCCAGCUAAGGUCCCAAAGUCAUGGUUAAGUGGGAAACGAUGUGGGAAGGCCCAGACAGCCAGGAUGUUGGCUUAGAAGCAGCCAUCAUUUAAAGAAAGCGUAAUAGCUCACUGGUCGAGUCGGCCUGCGCGGAAGAUGUAACGGGGCUAAACCAUGCACCGAAGCUGCGGCAGCGACACUGUGUGUUGUUGGGUAGGGGA